ensembl:lncRNA
GUCUCGGCACUCCGUCUCCAUGGCGACGGGUUAGUGAUUAAACGUCCACUUUGUCACGCGGGAGCGACGUAAUGCAUCAACACAGCGCCGGCUGCGGUUUGAUCGUAUCACACCGGAGGCCUGCGUGUUAAACUGCACCACCUCCAUGCGCUGCUUUGACAAGAUCUUCAGGCUGGAGGGCGGCUUGGCUUUAGCUCCAACACUUCAGCGCUUCUCUUUCCGUGGUUUACCGCCGGCGUCUGAUGAUGCAACAGCGUCUCAACCGCUCCAAAAGAGAGGGAGGACGGACGAGGACGGACGAGGACGCAGCCAGACGUGUUUCUCAGGGAGAGAAAAGAAAUCGCUGGAAAUGACCAGAAAAUGCAAAUCAUUCUGC